UACUGUUCUUUAGUAGUUUCUUUUGCUGG
rnacentral:piRNA from 1 species